CCCUUAGAUGUCCUGGGCCGCACGCGCGCUACACUGAUGCAUUCAACGAGUUUUACCUUGGCCGAGAGGCCUGGGCAAUCUUUUAAACCUGCAUCGUGAUAGGGAUAGAUUAUUGCAAUUAUUAAUCUUGAACGAGGAAUUCCUAGUAAACGCAGAUCGUCAAUCUGCAUUGAUUACGUCCCUGCCCUUUGUACACACCGCCCGUCGCACCUACCGAUUGAAUGGUCCGGUGAAGCCUCGGGAUUGUGGCCAGUUCACUUUAUUGGGAGUUGGCUGCGAGAACUUGUCUAAACCUUAUCAUUUAGAGGAAGGUGAAGUCGUAACA
rnacentral:rRNA from 1 species